GGACUGGAACCAUCCGCAGCUGUUCUGACUGUGGGUUAUAAGACCCGGAUUUCAGAAAGAGUCCUGUCCAUCCCCUGGAGGAAGGAAUGCUGCACAGGGAGGCCAAGAAGAAUCUAGACCGGCAGGCCUUGCAGGGUCUCCCCACUCCAUCUUUUAGCGUGAGAUCAAAGCCUUUCUGUCCCACCGCAUUUCAACACGGCUGUCCAUGCUUCCAUCGUGCCUAUCCCAGGAAGUCUCCAUAGAGGGCCCCAGAGGACAGGGUUUGGGGAGCUUCCAGGUUGCUGAACACAUGGAGGUUUCUGAUGGGCGGAGCACCCAGGGAAGGCUUGGAAGCUCCGCGACCCUUCCCCCAUACCUCGCCCUCUGCAUCUCUUCAUCUGUAUCUUUUGUAAUAUCCUUUAUAAUAAACUGGUAAAUGUGUUUCCCUGAGUUCUGUGAGCCACUGUAGCAAAUAACAGAACCCAAAGAGGGAGUCAUGGGAAUCUCAACUUGAAGCCAGUCGAUCAGAACUUCCGGAAGCCCAGACUUGAGACCGGGCUUAAUAUACACAAGGCCAUAGAGCUAGACCCAGGCCAUGGAGGAGCAUGGAGGACCGCAAUUCUAAAAGCUUUGCCAGCUUAAAAAAUAUCUGCCUGCCUCACAGGAUCAAGUCCAAGCCCCAAACCUGCCAUUCAGGGACCUCAAUUCUGCAUCCUACCUACUGCUUCAGCUGAGGCUCCUGCGUGCGGUGCCUGGAACACGAGCAGCAGGGGCUGCCUCCGCACACCGGCGCGCGCACACCCGGUGUCUUUGCUCAUGCAGUCCUGGGGCCUAGGACGCCUCCUCCUGCUCUUCCUUGCCUUGCUCAUAUCUGCUCAUUCUUCAAUUCUUGGCUGGUAUCAUCUCUUCCAGGAAGCCUCCUCCUCCGGGUCUGUGUGCCCUGAUAGCUUGCUUCCUCUAUGUUAUUUUAUUAAAAAGAUCGGUUUAUGUGUAUAUCUCUAAACUUUACAAGCUAAGUUUUUGUGUGUUUGUGUUUUAUUUAUUCUUUUUGAGACGGAGUCUCACUGUGUCACCCAGGCCGAAGUGCAAUGGUGCAAUCUUGGCUCACUGCAACCUCCACCUCCUGGGUUCAACCAAUUCUUGUGUCUCGGCCUCCCGAGUAGCUGGGAUCACAGGUGCCUGCCACCACACCUAGCUAUUUUUUUUUUGUAUUUUUACUAGAGACAGGGUUUCACCAUGUUAGUCAGGCUGGUCCUGAAUUCUUGAACUCAAGCGAUCUGCCAGCCUCGGCCUCCCAAAGUGCUGGGAUUACAGGCGUGAGUCACCACGCCCGGCCUACAAGCUAAGUUUUAAUUCAGCAAAUAUUUUUUGUCCGGGCUCUCUUCUGGGAUUGGAGCCUAGACGGUCAAGGUCCCUGAUCUCACCGGCUUAUGUUCUAAAGAGCGACAGAUGGGGAACAUGUAAAUGAACAAAUUAAGCAAUGAUCUGGGAAGGA
rnacentral:lncRNA from 10 species